GUUUGCCCAAGUGGUCAAGGGGGCAGACUGAAGAUCUGCUGCACACAAGUGCACGUGGGUUCGAACCCCACAGUUAACA
rnacentral:tRNA from 1 species